rnacentral:rRNA from 1 species
UACAGAGGUGGCAAGCGUUGUUCGGAAUUACUGGGCGUAAAGGGCGCGUAGGCGGCCCGUCAAGUCCCGUGUGAAAGCCCCCGGCUCAACUGGGGAGGGUCACGCGAUACUGAUCGACUCGAAGGCAGGAGAGGGUAGUGGAAUUCCCGGUGUAGUGGUGAAAUGCGUAGAUAUCGGGAGGAACACCAGUGGCGAAGGCGACUACCUGGCCUGUUCUUGACGCUGAGGCGCGAAAGCGUGGGGAGCGAACAGG